AUUGAACGCUGGCGGCAGGCCUAACACAUGCAAGUCGAGCGGAUGAAGGGAGCUUGCUCCUGGAUUCAGCGGCGGACGGGUGAGUAAUGCCUAGGAAUCUGCCUGGUAGUGGGGGAUAACGUCCGGAAACGGGCGCUAAUACCGCAUACGUCCUGAGGGAGAAAGUGGGGGAUCUUCGGACCUCACGCUAUCAGAUGAGCCUAGGUCGGAUUAGCUAGUUGGUGGGGUAAAGGCCUACCAAGGCGACGAUCCGUAACUGGUCUGAGAGGAUGAUCAGUCACACUGGAACUGAGACACGGUCCACACUCCUACGGGAGGCAGCAGUGGGGAAUAUUGGACAAUGGGCGAAAGACUGAUCCAGCCAUGCCGCGUGUGUGAAGAAGGUCUUCGGAUUGUAAAGCACUUUAAGUUGGGAGGAAGGGCAGUAAGUUAAUACCUUGCUGUUUUGACGUUACCAACAGAAUAAGCACCGGCUAACUUCGUG
rnacentral:rRNA from 1 species